rfam:Actinomadura sp. CNT-125 NODE_166_length_18679_cov_93.621_ID_11993, whole genome shotgun sequence.
UCAUCCCGUGCGGGAGAGUCCCCGGCAGCCGGCCCGGGACGCCGAAGGAGCAACUCCUCCCCGGAACCUCUCAGGCCAACGGACCGCACGGGCCAG